rnacentral:rRNA from 1 species
AUUGAACGCUGGCGGCAGGCCUAACACAUGCAAGUCGAGCGGAGCGGCUGACGGGUGAGUAAUGCCUAGGACUCUGCCUGGUCGUGGGGGAUAACGUCAGGAAACGGGCGCUAAUACCGCAUCCUAUCAGUUGAGCCUAGGUCGGAUUAGCUAGUUGGUGGGGUAAAGGCUUAACAAGGCGACGAUCCGUAACUGGUCUGAUAGGAUGAGCAGCCACACUGGAAAUGCGACACGGUCCAGACUCCUACGGUAGGCAGCAGUGGGGAAUAUUGGGCAAUGGGCGAAAGCCUGAUCCAGCCAUGCCGCGUGUGUGAAGAAGGUCUUCGGAUUGUAAAGGACGUUAAGCUGGGAGGCGUUACCCACAGAAUAAGCACCGGCUAACGUCGUGCCAGCAGCCGCGGUAAUUC